rnacentral:rRNA from 1 species
AUUGAACGCUGGCGGCAUGCCUUACACAUGCAAGUCGAACGGCAGCACGGGUGCUUGCACCUGGUGGCGAGUGGCGAACGGGUGAGUAAUACAUCGGAACGUACCUUAUCGUGGGGGAUAACGCAGCGAAAGCUGUGCUAAUACCGCAUACGCCCUGAGGGGGAAAGCAGGGGAUCGCAAGACCUUGCGUUAUACGAGCGGCCGAUGUCAGAUUAGCUAGUUGGUGAGGUAAAGGCUCACCAAGGCGACGAUCUGUAGCGGGUCUGAGAGGAUGAUCCGCCACACUGGGACUGAGAGACGGCCCAGACUCCUACGGGAGGCAGCAGUGGGGAAUUUUGGACAAUGGGGGCAACCCUGAUCCAGCCAUGCCGCGUGAGUGAAGAAGGCCUUCGGGUUGUAAAGCUCUUUCGGCCGGGAAGAAAUCGCACAGGCUAAUACUCUGUGUGGAUGACGGUACCGGCAUAAGAAGCACCGGCUAACUACGUGCCAGCCGCCGCCGUAA